GAUUCGUGGGCCUUUGAGAAGGUGGGCACUGGGCAGACCGACAGAGACAAGAUUCAGCCAAGCAAGGAAUGCCUGUUGAAUCUGUCUCCUCACCAGCUAAUUUGCAUACGAGAUGUACUAAUCCUUGGAGAGUGAUAAAGUGGAGAGAGAGCACAUGAAGGGGUGUACUUGGUCUGCAACAAUAUGUAAGUAGGUGGUAUGUGUCAAGUAACAUCCACAUGAAUGUCAAGACCCAAGGUUUUCCAGCAGAACAUUGCCCAGGGGAUCGCACUGCCAGCUUGCCUUCUUCUCAUAGUGCACCCUGGUGCCAUCUCUUUCCCAGGUAAAUGACACACAUGCAC